AUUAACCCCACCCAUAUUGUUUUGCCACACCCUGUCAGACCCUUAUAAAUAUUUAGUCAGACAUCUGACAGUCAUCAACCAGUCUGAGAGGAGAAAGGUGUAUGAUUCUUGUACCAUUAACUUUACGCUGUUGAUUACUGGUUGAAACUACUGUACAGUACUGUAAACCUUCAAAUCUUCAAGCAACAAGAUGUUGAAGCUAACUCUUACUGCAGGUCUCUGUUUGAUCUUCACCAGCUUGG